CGUAUUCACUACUGUAAGUCGCUCUGGAUAAGAGCGUCUGCUAAAUGACGUAGA
rfam:Salmo salar isolate Sally breed double haploid chromosome ssa20, whole genome shotgun sequence.